AAUUUGUAUUAAAAGUACAUUUCCUCAUUGGAGCCAUACAGAAAUUAGCAUGGCCUCUGGGCAAGGACGACAUGCAAAUUUGUGAAGCAUUCCAUAUUUUC
ensembl:snRNA U6 U6 spliceosomal RNA